rnacentral:lncRNA from 1 species
CCCCGCUCUCGCUGCUCACGUGCCGCGCAGGUGAUCCUGAUGGGCCUGGUGGAGGGCUACCGUGUGAACGGCGGCCCGGCCGGCGAGGGCCUGGACCCGCUGUACCCCGGCGAGUCGUUCGACCCCCUGGGCCUGGCUGACGACCCGGACACCUUCGCCGAGCUCAAGGUCAAGGAGAUCAAGAACGGCCGCCUGGCCAUGUUCUCCAUGUUCGGCUUCUUCGUGCAGGCCAUUGUGACCGGCAAGGGGCCCAUUGAGAACCUGAACGACCAUCUGGCCAACCCGGCCGUCAACAACGCCUUCGCCUUCGCCACCAAGUUCACGCCCAGCGCGUAAUGUAUCGCUGCUACGUUUGCUAGUCGAAGCGGUUGUCCGCAUCUGCCGGCCGCUGCUGCCUUCAGCUACGUUACGUUGUUUAGCUAUGUGAACGUAGACACAACAUACCCAAUAAACUGCCAAUACCGGUAUACGAGACGUCACAUGCAUAGCAAUUGCAGGCAGUAGUUGCCUAUCCGUCGCUGUUGGGUAAAUACGCUUGGAUGCGCAGCUUGCCAAAACUGUUGAGUGAUGCGUGGGUGCUUGUCAGUUAUUUCCAUCGAACCUCGUUGUCGCACUGUGGCCACCUCUGUUUUUAAUGUCGUGUUCCUGCGAUGAGUUCCCGCGUGGUGAGUGGUGAGCAGCGGCGGAAGCGGUCCUGUUACGGGCCUGAAGUUUUGAUGUGGGUGUUUCCCAGUAGGGGUUUCCCACAGCACGGGUGUUGAGGUGGAGCUCUUACUUUUGGGUGGGGUAUUGGGCGGUGAGACGUGAGAUAUCAAGAGCUUCAUACAAAGCGCAUGCACGUGCUGGGUGCGUUGCGCCAAGCAAGCUCCUGUAACAUUUCGGUGUUCAUGACAUAAGGAAGGUCUCGGUUCCAGUGCUUGUUUCACCGCUUCUUGGGGCGGGAGCACAUACAGCCAUUUUGGUGGGCGCGUACUGCAAAGGCGGCCACGCAAACAGGCACACAUGGAGAACACGCGCGAGACACGAGCUAAAGGAACAUGUCAUUCAGAGGGAUGAUUCGAGGUGCAUAUGGCCACGCUCUAUCGCGCGAAAGAAGCCAAGGGUUAUCGUGGCUUUCCUGUGUUAGCGAAGUGAGCUAGGCGCUUAAUCGCGGGUUGAUGGCCUCGGUUGUCGUACAGUGCAAGAGUUAAACUUCAGCAAACCACGUUGGUAGGUCACUCCCCGCCGACAUCAUCACUGGCGCGGCAUAGGUCAUCGCCAAUCCCUCUAGCGUACAGCGGCCUCGGCCUCCGCGAACCAGGCUCGCUACCUUCCUCACAGCCAGGAACUACGUUGCCACUGGAAGGUACCCCGAUGCACCAAGAAGGCUUAUUGUGGCGCUCGCCUCGGGCUUAUGUGUCCCGUUUCGGAUAGCACAGCAUCAGCACCACGAAAAACCUGCCGAUAUGCAUAACAAAAAAUCACACACACACACCAACACACACACACAUACUUACAAACACAAACACACACAAACACAAACCACACACUCACUCUCUUUCUUUUUCUUGUCAUGCAGAAACACACAGACGCACACCCACACCCACACACAUGCACACACGCGCACACACAUGCACACACACACACACACACGCACACACACGCACAUACGCACACGCACACGCCACACUUAAGUCGAAGGAAAAAGGCACGAAGUCGGACUGGAGCCUUGUAAUGAGUGAUGCCGUUACCUGGAUUACAGUCCGGUGUAGAACCAUGGGACGUGCAAUGAUAUGGAGUCUUAAAAGCUCGGCAACCAGAUGGACGCCGCUGCAUGCUGGCUACUGCUUUCAGUAUCACCCUGGCUGGCAGGCCCCUUUCGAUCAGUUUCGCAUCCGCAAGGCCAGAGCAUGCAGCAUCGCCAAUGGUUUGACCACCUGCUCCCGUAACUUAAGAACCAAAUACCGAAUGCCAGUGCCAUGGGUCCAGUACUCCCCCAGAAAGGCAGGAUGACACACAAAUAGGCUACCCGCUGUCCCUUGUCUAUCUGGUACUGCCCCGCGACUUUAUGCAUAAAACUGCUGGUCACAAGAAGUUCUUCUUUGUUCCUUUCACAGUUCAAUUGGUAGCCUGAAGCUAAGCAUGCGUGGAGUGCUGAACAUGUAGCGUGCGUGGUGAAACCCCUGGCAAAAGAGGUAACAAACAGAGGGCGUGCUGGCGUUCCGUUCAGUACUUCAGAGGUCAAAGGCAAGCCAUGGGCAAAGUAGGAGCUUUUCCCAGGUGCCAGCCUUAGGCUCCGACGUUUGGAAGCCCGUGGCCGAUUGUAAGUUGCGAAGAGCUCAUGCGUUUGGUCGAGGCCGACCGUCCUCCCUUGAUCGGACGACAGGUUGCUACGCACGUGCUUGUUGCUUUCCUUCGGUCCUAAACGGCCUCCGGUUCGGCGCUGUCGCCCUUUUGCGGUCCAGCAGAGCUUGGACCUUGUGUUCACCGGCCCUGUCCGGGAUGGAAUGCCCUUUGCCGUCCUAAGCAGCGUGACCCAUUAUAUCAGCUUGCUUCCUAGCAAGGACAACAGCUACUGUCCUCCCGUCCUACGGUACUGGUAAUGAGUAAAGGCCGAACAGCUAGGGUCAAACAUGGAGAGACCACUUUUGGCGCCUAAAGAAUGCAUUGCAGUGCGUAUCAAAAUCCAUGUUCAGCGUGCACGUCACAGCAUUUAUACAGUCGCCACUGAGUUAUCCCUGCAUCAGAAACUUGUAUGAAACUUGCAAGCAGGUGUAGCAAAUCGUUCAUGCCAAUCUGUGCAAGUGCAGAUAGCUGUUAAGCGCAUGUGUUGCAGGUGUGCCAUGUCUGUAUCCUGCGAUCUCUGUUAGGUAAGCGCCCUGUCCCACGGACAGGACAGGGAUACGGCGUGCGUACGGCAUCAAGAUUUGCUUGCAAAACAAAAGCGCUGGUUGCCUGUGCUUUCAGUAUCAGUUCUCUCCUUUGUGCAGCAGAGUCUGAUCACCUUACGAACAUCUAAAAUGGCUUUCGCUCUCGGCACCUCGCGCGAGGCUCUGCAGGUCGCAUGCAAGGCGACCGGCAAGAAGGCCGCUGCUAAGGUCCGUUUUAUUUCGACACCAUUUAUUUUAUCAGCGUACCUUACAUAGACGCACAUACGUAUUUGCAGUGUCCUCUGGCUAACCAGAGACGUUUGUCCCGUUCGCAACAUCUUUACAGCCGGCUGCCCCCAAGAGCUCUGGCAUCGAGUGGUAUGGCCCGAACCGCGCUAAGUGGCUCGGUAGGUUAUCCUGGAGAUCCGAGGAGAUCCGAUAUGCAGCGGGUGUAGCGCGUAUCGGAGGGCCGGAAUAAUCGGUCGGUCUCCUGCAUGGUCCUCCUUUCGGCGCAACAUGCCGCAGCGUCAGGUUUCUGUGCGCAGGCUGCUCUCUCGGUCCUUUGCUGACAUCGCGCGAUGCAUGCUGCGAUGAAGGGCACAGGUUGCGUCUUUCCCCCUUUCGCGACCUGCCGUUCAGUAGCCCGCUGCCGCCGUAUGUCCGCUUUCCCCUUCUGUGCCCACAUCGGACAGGCCCCUACAGCGAGAAUGCCACCCCUGCCUACCUGACUGGCGAGUUCCCCGGUGACUACGGCUGGGACACUGCUGGCCUGUCUGCUGACCCGGAGACGUUCAAGCGCUACCGCGAGCUGGAGCUGAUCCAUGCACGCUGGGCCAUGCUUGGCGCUCUGGGCUGCCUGACCCCCGAGCUGCUGUCCAAGAACGGCGUGCAGUUCGGUGAGGCUGUGUGGUUCAAGGCCGGCGCUCAGAUCUUCCAGGAGGGCGGCCUGGACUACCUGGGCAACCCGUCGCUGGUGCACGCUCAGAACAUCGUCGCGACGCUGGCGUGCCAGGUGGGCGGGAGGGACGUGGCUGCAUGCUUAGGAAUGUGUCCGGUCGCCUUACUUGUUAGCUGGCUAGGUGAAACAAGGUGGGGCGCGGCAACUGUGCUGCCAGCCCUUGACUGUUGCAAGCUCCCCUGCCUUUUGCGCGCUCUUACAUUCAGCUUGGGUUUGGAUUCCUAGUCGCAGCCUUGUGACAUGUGAGCAUUGUGCGCUAUCGCACGCACAUCCAGGAAUCUGGGUGUCUCGUUUCCUAUCCAGCUUGGUUUUAUUGCAGGCCGUACCCUGGCGUGUUGCUUAUCCGUAUUGACCGCUGUCUUCUCCCCCGCUCUCGCUGCUCACGUGCCGCGCAGGUGAUCCUGAUGGGCCUGGUGGAGGGCUACCGUGUGAACGGCGGCCCGGCCGGCGAGGGCCUGGACCCGCUGUACCCCGGCGAGUCGUUCGACCCCCUGGGCCUGGCUGACGACCCGGACACCUUCGCCGAGCUCAAGGUCAAGGAGAUCAAGAACGGCCGCCUGGCCAUGUUCUCCAUGUUCGGCUUCUUCGUGCAGGCCAUUGUGACCGGCAAGGGGCCCAUUGAGAACCUGAACGACCAUCUGGCCAACCCGGCCGUCAACAACGCCUUCGCCUUCGCCACCAAGUUCACGCCCAGCGCGUAAUGUAUCGCUGCUAUGUUUGCUAGUCGAAGCGGUUGUCCGCAUCUGCCGGCCGCUGCUGCCUUCAGCUACGUUACGUUGUUUAGCUAUGUGAACGUAGACACAGCAUAACCAAUAAACUGACAAUACCGGUAUACGAGACGUCACAUGCAUAGCAAUUGCAGGCAGUAGUUGCCUAUCCGUCACUGUUGGGUAAAUACGCUUGGAUGCGCAACUUGCCAAAACUGUUGAGUGAUGCGUGGGAGCUUGUCAGUUAUGUCCAUCGAACCUCGUUGUCGCACUGUGGCCACCUGUGGUUUUUAUGUCGUGUUCCUGCGAUGAGUUUCCGCAUGGUGCCGUGGUGAGUGGUGAGUGGUGAGCAGCGGCGGAAGCGGUCCUGUUACGGGCCUGAAGUUUUGUUGUGGGUGUCAGCCAGCAGGAGUUUCCCACAGCACGGGUGUUGAGGUGGAGCUCUUACUUUUGGGUGGGGUAGUGGGCGGUGAGACGUGAGAUGUCAAGAGCUUCAUACAAGGCGCAUGCACGUGCUGGGUGCGUUGCGCCAAGCAAGCUCCUGUAACAUUUCGGGUGUUCAUGAAGUAAGGAAGGUGUCGGUUCCAGUGCUUGUUUCACCGCUUCUUGGGGCUGGAGCACAUACAGCCAAUUUGGUGGGCACGUACUGCAAAGGCGGCCACACAACAGGCACACAUGGGGAACACGCGUGAGACAUGAGCUAAAGGAACAUGUCAUCAUUCAGAGGGAUGAUUCGAGGUGCAUAUGACCACGCUCUGUCGCGCAUAAAAAGCCAAGGGUUAUCGUGGCUUUCCUGUGUUAGCGAAGUGAGCUCAGGCGCUUCAUCGCGGGUUGAUGGCCUCGGUUGUCGUACAGUGCAAGAGUUAAACUUCAGCAAAACAUGUUGGUAGGUCACUCCUCGACGACAUCAGCAGCAGGGUAGUCACGCCUACCUCCCGUUCGGCCCCACGGUCUCGAUCCACAAUCGCACAACCACCGAUAAACUGAAUCCCCGAUAAGAAUCCGAACUUGAAUCGAUGGGAUAUGGUGGUUAGCACGUG